GAUGAACGCUGGCGGCGUGCCUAACACAUGCAAGUCGAGCGUGAACCCUUAGAAUGAAACUUCGGUCGAAUGACGAGGGGGAAAGCGGCGGACGGGUGAGUAACGCGUAGGCAACCUGCCCCGUACAGAGGGAUAGCCUCGGGAAACCGGGAUUAAAACCUCAUAAUACCAUGGUAUCACAUGAUGCAAUGGUCAAAGAUUUAUCGGUAUGGGAUGGGCCUGCGUCUGAUUAGCUGGUUGGUGGGGUAACGGCCUACCAAGGCAACGAUCAGUAGCCGACCUGAGAGGGUAAUCGGCCACAUUGGAACUGAGACACGGUCCAAAACUCCUACGGGAGGCAGCAGUGGGGAAUAUUGCACAAUGGGCGAAAAGCCUGAUGCAGCAACGCCGCGUGAGCGAAGAAAGGCCUUGGUCGGUAAAGACUCUGUCGGGAAGGGAAGAAUAAUAGACGGUAACUUCCCGUACGGAAAGGACCCCGGCCGUAACUAACGUAGCACGCACGCCGCGGUAAACGUACGUAGUACGU
rnacentral:rRNA from 1 species